ensembl:rRNA 5S_rRNA 5S ribosomal RNA
GUCUUCGGCCAUACCACCCUUAAUGCGCCCAAUCUCGCCUGAUCUCGGAAAUGAAGCAGGGUUGGUACUGGUUAGUACUUGGAUGGGAGACUGCCUUGGAAUACCGGGUGCUGUAGGCU